rnacentral:rRNA from 1 species
AGACGUCUACAUUAGAUACCCCCGUAGUCCCAGCCGUAAACGAUGCGCGUUAGGUGUAUCGACGACCACGAGUCGUCGAGGUGCCGAAGGGAAACCGUGAAACGUGCCGCCUGGGAAGUACGGUCGCAAGGCUGAAACUUAAAGGAAUUGGCGGGGGAGCACCACUACAGGUGGAGCCUGCGGUUUAAUUGGACUCAACGCCGGAAAUCUCACCGGAUAAGACAGCAGAAUGAUUGCCGGGCUGAAGACUCUGCAUGACUAGCUG